rnacentral:rRNA from 1 species
UACGGAGGGGGCUAGCGUUGUUCGGAAUUACUGGGCGUAAAGCGCACGUAGGCGGCUAUUUAAGUCAGGGGUGAAAUCCCGGGGCUCAACCCCGGAACUGCCUUUGAUACUGGGUAUCUGGAGGUCGAGAGAGGCGAGUGGAAUUCCGAGUGUAGAGGUGAAAUUCGUAGAUAUUCGGAGGAACACCGGUGGCGAAGGCGGCAUCCUGGACCGACAUUGACGCUGAGGCGCGAAAGCCAGGGGAGCAAACGGG